rnacentral:misc_RNA from 1 species
AAAGUCGUAACAAGGUAACCGUAGGUGAACCUGCGGUUGGAUCAUUACUAUAUAUAUUCGUUCGUUCAACCAAAAGAAGAAUGUUCGGAAGCCAUGGCCCUACGGGUAUAUGUUAAAUGGGGUCUCCAUUGCACCGGUGCCUGGAAAUAUCGUUCCCAGCUUCUGUGGAAUGUUGCCUAUUUAACAUUGUCCUAGGGCUUCUGGUGACAUUAUGUGAACUGUAUUGUCUCUGGCGGGGGGGGUGGAGUAUAAGUUAUUUACUCUAUCUGUCAGCUUGACGCUAAUAUUUUGUCAAGCCGUGGACAUCCCGUCAAACUCUUGUUAAACCUAUUGUCUUUUUUUUUAUGUCUGACAUUUUUUGUAUGAAAUAUUACAAACAACUUUUGGCAACGGAUCUCUUGGCUCUC